GAUGAACGCUAGCGGCAGGCUUAAUACAUGCAAGUCGUGGGGCAGCAUGAGUAGCAACACUUGAUGGCGACCGGCAAACGGGUGAGGAACACGUACACAACCUUCCUUCAAGCGGGGAAUAGCCCAGAGAAAUUUGGAUUAAUACCCCAUAAUAUAUUUGAUAAGGCAUCUUAUUAAUAUUAAAGCUUCGGCACUUGAUGAUGGGUGUGCGGCUGAUUAGAUAGUUGGCGGGUAACGGCCCACCAAGUCUACGAUCAGUAGCUGAUGUGAGAGCAUGAUCAGCCACACGGGCACUGAGACACGGGCCCGACUCCUACGGGAGGCAGCAGUAAGGAAUAUUGGACAAUGGACGAAAGUCUGAUCCAGCCAUGCCGCGUGAAGGAUUAAGGUCCUCUGGAUUGUAAACUUCUUUAUAUGGGACGAAAAAAGGGCAUUCUUGUUCACUUGACGGUACCAUAUAAAUAAGCACCGGCUAAACUCCGUGCCAGCAGCC
rnacentral:rRNA from 1 species